UACGGGGGGGGGCAAGCGUUGUUCGGAAUUACUGGGCGUAAAGGGCUCGUAGGCGGCCAACUAAGUCAGACGUGAAAUCCCUCGGCUUAACCGGGGAACUGCGUCUGAUACUGGAUGGCUUGAGUUCGGGAGAGGGAAGUGGAAUUUCCGGUGUAGCGGUGAAAUGCGUAGAUAUCGGAAGGAACAUCAGUGGCGAAAGCGACUUCCUGGACCAAUACUGACGCUCAUGUGCGAAAGCGUGGGGAGCAAACAGG
rnacentral:rRNA from 1 species